GAUGCUAAUACCGGAUAACAACAGAUGACUGCCUAUCAACUGUUUAAAAGAUGGUUCUGCUAUCACUCUUGGAUGGACCUGCGGUGCAUUAGCUAGUUGGUAGGGUAACGGCCUACCAAGGCGAUGAUGCAUAGCCGAGUUGAGAGACUGAUCGGCCACAUUGGGACUGAGACACGGCCCAAACUCCUACGGGAGGCAGCAGCC
rnacentral:rRNA from 1 species